GACGAACGCUGGCGGCGUGCUUAACACAUGCAAGUCGAACGGAACGUCCCUGCUUUUGUGGGGUGCUCGAGUGGCGAACGGGUGAGUAACACGUGAGUACCCUGUCCUUGACUUUGGGAUAACUUCAGGCAACUGGGGCUAAUACCGGCUAGGAGCUCCUGCUGCAUGGUGGGGGCUGGAUAGUUUCGGCGGUUGGGGAUGGACACGCGGCCUAUCAGCUUGUUGGUUGGGUAGUGGCUUAGCAAGGCGUUGCCCGGUAGCCGGCCUGAUCGGGUGACCUGCCACAUUGGGACGGAGAUACGGCCCAGGCUCCUACGGGAGGCAGCAGUGGAGAAUAUUGCACAAUGGGCGGAAGCCUAAUGCAGCAACGCCGCGUGCGGUAUGACGGCCUUCGGGUUGUAAACCGCUUUCGCCUGUGACGAAGCGUGAGUGACAGUAAUGGGUAAAGAAGCACCGGCUAACUACGUG
rnacentral:rRNA from 1 species